GGCCGCUGCCGGUGCGCGGCGGCGGAGAGCAGCCGGCGGCGGGGAGCGCGCAGCCCUGCGCCCGGGGAGGCAGCGGCUCGGCGCCGCGGUGCCUCGCGGAGGCGGAGAGGAUGAGGAUGGCUUCUGGCUUUUUUUUUGCCUCCUCGCGAUGAUUUCCAUAGUAACCUGAUCGAGCGGUGCAAUUUCGGAAACUGGGGUGGCUUUAUUAUUAUUUUUUCCCUCCCCAUUUUUUUCCCCCGUUUAAUCUCACCUCUCCCCGAGGAGUGCCAGCCGACAGGACACCACUGCUAUUUAUCUGCUGGUAAUAUUCAGUUUGGUUAGUGUGAACCCCAGAUGAAGAUAACAUGGAAAACCACCAAACUGGAAAUGUGCUGUCCUGUAUGCCUUCUCACAGCUGAAUCUGGAUUGUCUUCUGAAUGGAACAUCAUCAGACCAGAAGCCAUCUUUACAUUUGUGGUUUUUUUCAUUCUGGCAAAAGAACUGGAUGGAGAAUAA
rnacentral:lncRNA from 1 species